rnacentral:rRNA from 1 species
UACGUAGGGUGCGAGCGUUAAUCGGAAUUACUGGGCGUAAAGCGUGCGCAGGCGGUGAUGUAAGACAGGUGUGAAAUCCCCGGGCUUAACCUGGGAACUGCAUUUGUGACUGCAUCGCUGGAGUGCGGCAGAGGGGGAUGGAAUUCCGCGUGUAGCAGUGAAAUGCGUAGAUAUGCGGAGGAACACCGAUGGCGAAGGCAAUCCCCUGGGCCUGCACUGACGCUCAUGCACGAAAGCGUGGGAGC